ACCCUUCGUGGAGGUAUAUGGAUGCGUUAUUGACUCUAUGUGCUUCAGUAGAUUUAGAAAGUGGUUAUAAACAGAUACUACAUUGUAAUAGAGUCAGUAGCAUUC